rnacentral:rRNA from 1 species
AACGAACGCUGGCGGCAUGCCUAACACAUGCAAGUCGAACGAGACCUUCGGGUCUAGUGGCGCACGGGGGCGUAACGCGUGGGAACCUGCCCUUAGGUUCGGAAUAACUCCCCGAAGGGGGUGCUAAUACAGCAGAAUGUCUUCGGACCAAAGAUUUAUCGCCUUUGGGUGGGCCCGCGUUGGUUUAGCUAGUUGGUAGGGUAAAAGCCUACCAAGGCGACGUUCCAUAGCUGGUCUGAGAGGAUGAUCAGCCACACUGGGACUGAGACCCGGCCCAGACUCGUACGGGAGGCAGCAGUAGGGAAUAUUGGACAAUGGGCGAAAGCCUGAUACAGCAAUGCCGCGUGAGUGAUGAAGGCCUUAGGAUUGUAAAGCUCUUUUACCCGGGAUGAUAAUGACAGUACCGGGAGAAUAAGCUCCGGCUAACUCCGUG